GGUCAUUGUCGUUUCUGCACUACUUGGGAGAGAAUAGGGUGUCUUAAGCAUCCAAGGGCACAGGAACUUUGCUUUUCCUCAAAUGGAAGUUACUUGGCAGUAUGGGACGCAUAUGUCAAAACUCAAGAUCAGAGUCAAGUACAACCUAACUUGAGUGUCUAUGAUGUAUCAGGAAAGAAAUUACUGAAAUCUUUCUUUCAGCAAAGUCAGAAUAAUUGGCAGCCUCAGUGGACAAAUGAUAAAAGGUUUUUUGCGCGCAAUGUUACAAAUGAAGUUUUCAUUUUUACAAGUCUGAUGACCUUAAUACCAUAGCUGAAAAGAAAAUCCUCAGCAAGGUUCGCU